rnacentral:rRNA from 1 species
AGUGAACGCUGGCGGCAGGCCUAACACAUGCAAGUCGAACGGCAGCACAGUAAGAGCUUGCUCUUACGGGUGGCGAGUGGCGGACGGGUGAGGAAUACAUCGGAAUCUACUUUUUCGUGGGGGAUAACGUAGGGAAGCUUACGCUAAUACCGCAUACGACCUACGGGUGAAAGCAGGGGAUCUUCGGACCUUGCGCGAUUGAAUGAGCCGAUGUCGGAUUAGCUAGUUGGCGGGGUAAAGGCCCACCAAGGCGACGAUCCGUAGCUGGUCUGAGAGGAUGAUCAGCCACACUGGAACUGAGACACGGUCCAGACUCCUACGGGAGGCAGCAGUGGGGAAUAUUGGACAAUGGGCGCAAGCCUGAUCCAGCCAUACCGCGUGGGUGAAGAAGGCCUUCGGGUUGUAAAGCCCUUUUGUUGGGAAAGAAAAGCAGCAGGUUAAUACCCCGCUGUUCUGACGGUACCCAAAGAAUAAGCACCGGCUAACUUCGUG